rnacentral:rRNA from 1 species
AUUGAACGCUGGCGGCAGGCCUAACACAUGCAAGUCGAACGAGCGGCGGACGGGUGAGUAAUGUCUGGGAAACUGCCCGAUGGAGGGGGAUAACUACUGGAAACGGUAGCUAAUACCGCAUACCAUCGGAUGUACCCAGAUGGGAUUAGCUUGUAGGUGAGGUAACGGCUCACCAAGGCGACGAUCCGUAACUGGUCUGAGAGGAUGACCAGCCACACUGGAACUGAGACACGGUCCAGACUCCUACGGGAGGCAGCAGUGGGGAAUAUUGGACAAUGGGCGCAAGCCUGAUGCAGCCAUACCGCGUGGGUGAAGAAGGCCGUAGGGUUGUAAAGCACUUUUGGUGGGAAAGCGGUACCCAAAGAAGAAGCACCGGCUAACUUCGUGCCAGCAGCCGCGGUAAUUC